rnacentral:rRNA from 1 species
UNUGAAGUUAAAGGCUGUGGCUUAACCAUAGUNCGCUUUGGAAACUGUUUAACUNGAGUGCAAGAGGGGAGAGUGGAAUUCCAUGUGUAGCGGUGAAAUGCGUAGAUAUAUGGAGGAACACCGGUGGCGAAAGCGGCUCUCUGGCUUGUAACUGACGCUGAGGCUCGAAAGCGUGNGGAGCAAACAGGAUUAGAUACCCUGGUAGUNCACGCCGUAAACGAUGAGUGCUAGGUGUUAGACCCUUUCCGGGGUUUAGUGCCGUAGCUAACGCAUUAAGCACUCCGCCUGGGGAGUACGACCGCAAGGUUGAAACUCAAAGGAAUUGACGGGGGCCCGCACAAGCGGUGGAGCAUGUGGUUUAAUUCGAAGCAACGCGAAGAACCUUACCAGGUCUUGACAUCCCUCUGACCGUUCUAGAGAUAGAGCUUUCCUUCGGGACAGAGGUGACAGGUGGUGCAUGGUUGUCGUCAGCUCGUGUCGUGAGAUGUCGGGUUAAGUCCCGCAACGAGCGCAACCCCUAUUGUUAGUUGCCAUCAUUUAGUUGGGCACUCUAGCGAGACUGCCGGUAAUAAACCGGAGGAAGGUGGGGAUGACGUCAAAUCAUCAUGCCCCUUAUGACCUGGGCUACACACGUGCUACAAUGGCUGGUACAACGAGUCGCAAGCCGGUGACGGCAAGCUAAUCUCUUAAAGCCAGUCUCAGUUCGGAUUGUAGGCUGCAACUCGCCUACAUGAAGUCGGAAUCGCUAGUAAUCGCGGAUCAGCACGCCGCGGUGAAUACGUUCCCGGGCCUUGUACACACCGCC